UACCAUGAAUUCAAACAAGAGAACCCGUGAAAUUUAA
rnacentral:rRNA from 1 species